CCGCGUGAGGGAUGACGGCCUUCGGGUUGUAAACCUCUUUUGGUAGGGAAGAAGCCUUCGGGUGACGGUACCUGCAGAAAAAGCGCCGGCUAACUACGUGCCAGCAGCCGCGGUAAUACGUAGGGCGCAAGCGUUAUCCGGAAUUAUUGGGCGUAAAGAGCUCGUAGGCGGUCUGUCGCGUCUGCUGUGAAAUUCCGAGGCUCAACCUCGGGCUUGCAGUGGGUACGGGCAGACUAGAGUGCGGUAGGGGAGAUUGGAAUUCCUGGUGUAGCGGUGGAAUGCGCAGAUAUCAGGAGGAACACCGAUGGCGAAGGCAGAUCUCUGGGCCGUUACUGACGCUGAGGAGCGAAAGGGUGGGGAGCAAACAGGCUUAGAUACCCUGGUAGUCCACCCCGUAAACGUUGGGAACUAGUUGUGGGGUCCUUUCCACGGAUUCCGUGACGUAGCUAACGCAUUAAGUUCCCCGCCUGGGGAGUACGGCCGCAAGGCUAAAA
rnacentral:rRNA from 1 species